GUUGAAACACCAGUUCUCGUAUGGUCACCGAAGUUAAGCAACUUCGAGACAAGGCAUUACCUAGAUCGGUGACCACUUGGGAAUACCAAAUGCUGUAAG